AGGCUUAGUUGAGUUGAGUAUUCCCAGUAACUCUUAUGAGCCCAGAAAAGAAGAGGCUAGGAAAGUAAAAUGCUUGAGGUUGUUAAAGGAAAUAAAUUAAAAGAUCUUGUAUAGGUUCUAUCAAAAUCAUAAGCAACUCAGCAAUCAAGAUAUUAUCAUCUCAGAGCAAGAUAAAAGCUACGAGAAUAGUUUGAUAACUGAGGCAUACUUCACUAUGGAGGGGAUCA
rnacentral:misc_RNA from 1 species